UACGUAGGGGGCUAGCGUUGUCCGGAUUUAUUGGGCGUAAAGAGCGUGUAGGCGGCCAGAUAAGUCCGGUGUGAAAGUCACAGGCUCAACCUGUGAAUGCCGCUGGAAACUGUCUGGCUAGAGUCCGGGAGGGGCGAGUGGAAUUCCUGGUGUAGCGGUGAAAUUCGUAGAUAUUAGGAAGAACACCAGUGGCGAAGGCGGCUCACUGGCCCGGUACUGACGCUGAGGCGCGAAAGCGUGGGGAGCAAACAGG
rnacentral:rRNA from 1 species